rnacentral:rRNA from 1 species
UGGGGAAUAUUGGGCAAUGGGCGCAAGCCUGACCCAGCAACGCCGCGUGAGGGAAGAAGGUCUUCGGAUUGUAAACCUCUGUCCUUGGGGACGAAAAAAAUGACGGUACCCAAGGAGGAAGCUCCGGCUAACUACGUGCCAGCAGCCGCGGUAAUACGUAGGGAGCGAGCGUUGUCCGGAAUUACUGGGCGUAAAGGGUGCGUAGGCGGCAUGGCAAGUCAGAUGUGAAAUCCCCGGGCUUAACUCGGGAGAUGCAUUUGAAACUACCUUGCUUGAGUGCAGGAGAGGAAAGCGGAAUUCCUAGUGUAGCGGUGAAAUGCGUAGAUAUUAGGAAGAACACCAGUGGCGAAGGCGGCUUUCUGGACUGUAACUGACGCUGAUGCACGAAAGCGUGGGGAGCAAACAG